rnacentral:rRNA from 1 species
AGCGAACGCUGGCGGCAGGCCUAACACAUGCAAGUCGAACGAAGUCUUCGGACUUAGUGGCGGACGGAUGAGUAACACGUGGGAACGUGCCUUUAGGUUCGGAAUAACUCAGGGAAACUUGUGCUAAUACCGAAUGUGCCCUUCGGGGGAAAGAUUUAUCGCCUUUAGAGCGGCCCGCGUCUGAUUAGCUAGUUGGUGAGGUAAAGGCUCACCAAGGCGACGAUCAGUAGCUGGUCUGAGAGGAUGAUCAGCCACAUUGGGACUGAGACACGGCCCAAACUCCGACGGGAGGCAGCAGUGGGGAAUCUUGCGCAAUGGGCGAAAGCCUGACGCAGCCAUGCCGCGUGAAUGAUGAAGGUCUUAGGAUUGUAAAAUUCUUUCACCGGGGACGAUAAUGACGAUACCCGGAGAAGAAGCCCCGGCUAACUUCGUGCCAGCAGCCGCGGUAACAC